UGUGAAUGUGUGCACAUGAAUACACACAUGUACACACACAUAUACAUGUACACGCAUACACACACA
rnacentral:miRNA from 1 species